UGAUCCCAAAGAGCGACGCCAGUAGUUGUUAUCUGGAAAUUAAGUAGAAAAUUAACACAAAGUUUGAUCUCAAAUUAGCGAGAGCAUCACAUACUGUUCGUUUGCAUUUUUACUUGGAGGUUGUUUGAAGUUUUUCCUCCAUGGAUUUGUAGUUUUUGAGCUAAAAUGCAGUAAAAUUUCACUUGGAAACUGCUUGGGAAUGAUUAGUGCGUGAUUUUGGGUGGUGGCAGAAGGGAGGGCUUCUGGAGUUGGGACGAGGGUGAAACACAUGCUAUUCAUUUUGAAGGAUUGGAUAUGUUCCAAUCAAGAGAGCAGGAUUUCUACCGUAUUGGUGUUGUUAUGAAGUAAAAUGCAGACAAGGACUGCAUUAUGAUGUCACGUUCUGUUAUGAGAAUUCAUUGUGUGCAAGUCAGAAGUUAUAUAGACCUUGUUUGAUUCCAUAUGGUUUUGGUGGCCCUACAACUCAAGUGGAUGAAGGAAAUUUGUCACUACAUGGUAUUUGGCUAGAAAGCUCAUCCAUCUUUGAUCUCAGGUUACCUUCUAUCCAGGGCACACACAGUGCCUCUUACUGACAAUUAAGGUUAAUUCUUUUUGUUCUAGUAUGCAUUUUCAAUGGCUUUCUAAAAUUCCUAGGGUCAAUUAUUUCAAUUCUUGAAAUUCACAGGAGUUACAUUUUUGUUCAAAAUCAAGUAUAUCACUGCUCAAUUUCACUUGAUUUGAGGAAUGACUCCUUUCAGUAUUUGUAAUGUUAAUUGUUUAUACUUUCUGGUAGUGUUGGGUGUAUAACUAGCACAUAUCCAGAUGAUUGAAAGAGUUGCAUUUGAUAAAGAACUGACGAUGUAAAAUGGAUUUGCAGUUGAUGGAUUAAUGUAUAGCUAUUUAGUUGAGCAGUCCUGAAUCUGAUUGCUGUCGGGCAUGCUGUGGCCUUCUAAUAGAAGAUCAAGUUGGAGGAAUCCCACUGCCCUUGUUAUGUAUAAACUGAUAGUAAAAACAACACAAUUUUAGAUAUCUCACAUAGCUUGUUUGGUAGUUGUGCUUUUCCUCUAGUCUCCAAUGCUGUAGAGUUUGGGGUCAAUUAUAUGAUACUAGUUGGGGGUAUUGCUAUUGUUUGGUUAUCUUCUAGUCUCCAAGGCUCCAUUCUUUGGCCUGGUGCGGCUGCUGAAUUAUGUCGACAGACAAGAAUAAAAAGAAACUUUUUCACUUUUGGACUUUGAACAACAGUGACGUGAGGGUGAGGACUAAGGAGGAGUCUGCCUCUGCCUCUCGCAAUUUCUUCCAGAUAGCAGCUCUAAUUUAGACGACUUUAGAUGAUGUGCUAUCAGAAUGAGGGAAGUUGGAAUCAUACUGCGUCUCUUAUAGACCGAAUUUCUGUACAUUUUUCGCAUCAACAAAUCCAUCCAACAUUCAUCUUAA